rnacentral:rRNA from 1 species
GAUGAACGCUAGCGGCAGGCUUAACACAUGCAAGUCGGGGGGUAGAGGCUUUCGGGCCUUGAGACCGGCGCACGGGUGCGUAACGCGUAUGCAAUCUACCUUUCACAGAGGGAUAGCCCUGAGAAAUUUGGAUUAAUACCUCAUAGCAUUGGAGAAGGGCAUCCUUUUCCAAUUAAAGUCACAACGGUGAAAGAUGAGCAUGCGUCCCAUUAGCUAGUUGGUAAGGUAACGGCUUACCAAGGCUACGAUGGGUAGGGGUCCUGAGAGGGAGAUCCCCCACACUGGUACUGAGACACGGACCAGACUCCUACGGGAGGCAGCAGUGAGGAAUAUUGGUCAAUGGGCGCAAGCCUGAACCAGCCAUGCCGCGUGCAGGAUGACGGUCCUAUGGAUUGUAAACUGCUUUUGUACGGGAAGAAACACUGAUUCGUGAAUCAGCUUGACGGUACCGUAAGAAUAAGGAUCGGCUAACUCCGUGCCAGCAGCCGCGGUAA